AAAAAGACACUUUAUUCAAAUAAGUACAUAAUCUCACAGCUGAAUACUUUCCAUGAAUAUUCUGACACAUUUAUUUAAAUUUUUGAAAUUUUACUUUAUGCAUGUUAUAAUGUAAAAUAGAGGAUGAAUCUCUUUUUAUAAUUUUAUCUCAUUUAUGUUAAAUACAAAGAUAUUCUAGAUCAGAACUAACAAGAUGAAAGUAAUUUAUUAAAAGUAUGAAAUUUCAUUAAAGUAGUAUUUAAUUUUUUGUGUGUUGGCAUGAUUGGUCUAUUACCAACAACCUUCAAGGAGCUCACUCUUUUAUAAUCUUUAUUCCUGGUGCUUGAUUUUCCUCUUUAUAUCAAUCCACUAUGUGUUCCACAAUUCUAAUCUCAGAUUUAAAAAAUAAACGGUCAAAGGGAGUGGCAAAAUGUUUGAAUUGCUUUCAGAGGUUUGAUGGUAGGACCCAGAAGACAUAGAGAUUGCCAGAAUUAACAUAACAGAGGAUUCAAUGUGCUCCUGUGAGAAGCAUUGAUUGGGGUGGGAAUACAAGUCUGUUUCAAGCUUUCUGUACUGGUAGUAACUACUCACAGCUUCUACUCUUGCUUCUUAACCAUAGCUUUCCUUUUUUUUUCUUUCCAGGGCUAUAAGAUUUUUAUUUGAUUUCAAUAAUCUUCCACCUGUAUCUCCUUUUUACUUAUAAUGAAAAAUUUCAGUUCUGUAAGACACCAAUAUAAUGACUUACUUGCUUUAUCUCAUAAUAUAUAAACAGUUGCAAAAUAUGAAUAACAGCACUACAACUAGCAAUAUGAUGAUUGCUUAACAGCUAAAGAUUAUUUUUAGGGUUUUUUUUUUGCCGUGAUUAUUUCUUAAGGUAUAAAAAGUCAAAUUACUACACAGCUUUCCUUUAUAAUGGGCAACCAAGUACCAUAGGUUGAAGGGCCACUCUUCAGCAGUUAUAGCCUCACUUGAAAACCCGGCUGACCUCUGCUAAGAGCUUCCACUUAGCGGUUGGUAGUUGUGUUCAGACUCUGCCUCUGCUACUUACUAGCUCUAUACCUUUGUGAAAGCCAUUUAAUGUCUCUGCCUCAGUUUUCAAAUUGGAAAGAAGAGAGGGAGGAAGAAAAACAGAAGGAAAAACCCUAUUUUACAUGGUUGUUCUCAGACUGAGUAAGAAAAAAUAUAUAAAGCAUUUACCUCAAUGCCUAGAGCUUAAAAAUUAUUAAGCAAAUGGUAACUAUAUUAUUUAGCUCAUGAGCCAAAUUCUUUCCAGAUAAAAUUUUUAGAAAUCAAUAGAAAUAAAACUUGCCACGUAAAAACAAUUUUCCACCUUCAACAGAAAUAUAUGGGCAGGUAAAUUCUGUCUUAUGCAAACUUUUGUGGUUCUUUAAAAUUAACCGUAGGAGGAAAAAGAUUUACAAUGUAUUUUGGGGGGGAGGGGCGGGAAUGGCAGUGAGGGAGACAAGAAAUAUGUAGGGAAAAUCAUCUUAGAAAAAAUAAAGCUUCUUAAAAUUGAUCUAAAGCAGAGGGUGGAAACUGAGGCCGGGAGAUUAUUACUCGUCCACGCUUACAGGGUGGGGUGGGGCAGCGUUCUCCAGGGUUUCGCCUUUGCCGAAGACCCGCUCCACCUUCUUUCGACCCAGAUGCCCUUGUCGGGAAGAGUAUGCUGUCCUCAGUGCCUGGGCCAAGCUCACAAGCCCUCGUCUGUUCCAGGAAUUCCAGUCCAAGCUCAGUCCUCUCUCCAUCCCGGGGCAUCCUAAGCGUGUCUUUGAACCGCACUGUGGAGUUUCACUCCGAAAGUCCUUCUUACAGAGCAACUCCAAGGAUGGGCCGAAAAGCACAUAGAGAAAAUGGAACAGUGCGAAGUUGGAAGGUCCGUGCGGGUGGCAGCGCCAGUGUGGGGAUGAGAUGCUCACAGGACGGUUUUUAGGCGGCUCACAAGGGUUUUUUCUUUUCUUUUCUUUUCUUUCUUUCUUUUUUUUUUCUUUCUUUUUUUUUUUUUUUUUUUUGAGACGGAGUCUCGCUCUGUAGCUCAGACUGGAGUGCAGUGGCGCGAUCUCCGCUCACUGCAACCUUUGCUUCCCGGGUCCCGGUUCAAGCGAUUCUCCUGCCUCAGCCUCCCGAGUAGCUGAGAUUACAGGCGCGCGCCACCAUGCCCAGCUAAUUUUUGUAUUUUUAGUAGAGACGGGGUUUCACCAUGUUGGCAAGGCUUGAACUCCUGACCUCGUGAUCCGCCCGCCUUGGCCUUCCAAAGUGCUGGGAUUACAUGCGUGAGCCACCGCGCCCGGCCUCACAAAAGUGUUUUUGAAGGCUCCAUUCCCGAAGACUGAGUGAGGUAUUCGAUAUCCUCCUCCCUCAUUGAAAAGUUGUUUAACAGGAAUCUAAGUUCAUGCCGUUUGAUUCCCAAGACUUCUCCAAGCCGCAGUGUAGAGCAGGAAAAUCGACUAAUAUUACUGCUCAGAUUAUCAUCAUAGUGGCCAUUUAAGAUGGAAUGCGACAUCAAGGGUAAACUACGCAUUGAAAAAUUCACUUUCAGACCUCCCUUCCGUGCCUCAGUCUCCGGCCAGUCCUUUUCCCCAUUCGCCAUUCAGGCACUAAAAUUUUGCAGUUUGAGAAAAAGAAAAGUGAGGAAAACACAAGAGAAAAAACGCGAGGCUUUUCGGGUUCUUUUUUAUAUAUGGAAUAGCUUAUAUAGUCCAAUUUUAUUUUCUAAAUCGCCCCACACAUAAAACGUAUAACUCUAGCCAAGACGAAGGAAAAAAGAAAUGUAAUAGUUGGGAGCAGAGAGAAAUAGCCAGCACCACCCCCCAGCGCAGAGCCGGGGCGCGGGGCCUCGGGUCGCCCCCUCCGGCUCCUCUGACCCGAGACUCGCCAGGUCUUGGACGUCCUCAGCCUGCGACACCGUUCCCAGGACGGCUCAUCACCUAUUAUCUCGGACUCCAGAUUUUGUGUAAAAAGCGUGAGGCUGCUCCUCAUUGACACCCACUUAGAAGUUGGUUGAUGAAGACUGCAGUGAGCACUCUCAGCAAGGGUAAAACUGGCACAUUUGGGCCUGAAAUGGGGUCCUCGGGGCCUGGUAGGCUCAAGUAUGCCCUUGGUAAUUUCCAGCUUACAGAGAAAAGAAGAGCGUUCACUUUGUUUCUGGUGGCAGUGUGAAAAGGGGCAGCUACGUGGCCAAAGGUGAGUGCUCAAGUUUGCAAGGGCCCAAGAUAAUAGGGACUCUGAUUUGGAGACUGCUGGAACUUGAGCAGUUUGUUCUCCACUUCUGGUCCUCUUGCCUCAGGUGUGCGGUUGCCUGGCCAACAGGAGGUGGGUCCUUUCUGUGCGCCCCAAGUGGUGCCAAGAGUGAUUCGCGCCACUUCCCAGGGGCAUGGAGGUUAAGCAAGGCCGGUAGGAAUGUUAGUGAAUCCUUGCUUGGGGGUCCGCACGGUUUUAUUUGUUUUGUUUUUCUGACUAGAUUCCAAAGUUGGUGGAUUUUUCUGCUCUGGGGUUACGGGGAACUCCCGGGGCGCAGUGUCGGGAAGGUCAAGGAAAACUACUGCUCUCCCAUAGGCGGUUGCUGUGUGUGAGUCACGUCUGGGCGUUUUAAAAUUGAACAUUGUUUUGCUCGCUGUUUAGUUUUCUGAAAAGACCGUUUCUUAAACUAUUACAAUUCAGUUAUCUCCAUUAAGAUUGUAUUUCUGUUGCAAUAUAUAUUUAAUGUUUGGGCUUUAUAAAUGCUGUUUCCCUCAAGCAGCUCUCAGUCCUUUCUUUGGACCACAAUAAAAUACAGCUCUUAGAAAUCUUUGGUUUCCCUGGGUUCAUUUUCAUCGCGUGUUCCUCAUCCUGCCAGGUUACACGUUUUCCCUCACUGCGAACUGUCAGCCUUAUUCCGAGUAUAGCCACCACUGACUUCUGACCCUGGACGGUGUCAUUCACCGGGAACUCUUAACGUCUCCGGCCGAGAAAGGAGGGGACGGUAGCUAACUCUUUCGGCGGAGCUGAACCCCUACCCCCUCCCUCCUGUGGCCCGAGCCUACUGCGAGACCUGGACACCGCCAAGUGGGGCAACGUUUCGCUCUUACAGCAGCUUCCCGACCUCUGCUAACUCCCAGGCCAUUUCAGAAGGCGCAAAGGGGAGAAGGAAAAGUUCAGAGAGCAAACGUUGCUCUCUAGCCGCCCCCAACCUCCAGUUCCUCUCUUCCUUCCCCUGCUGUCCAAACUUCAUACUGUCCACCAGGGGAGACUGCCCCCCGACUCGGCUGUCCCUCACUAACGCGGUGGUCCCCGACCUAGGGUCGCAGAUGCACUUCCCGAGGCACAUGCGGGCGCAACAAGGUAACUGCGCUCCAGGCGUGGAACCCCAGUCCUGAGCGAUGUGAAACCAACCCCAAGCGGGCUGUGCUCACAGUUUGGGAAGAGGUAAUGUCUCUGAUCCCCCCAUAUCCACCCCUCCCCCAACCCUUGAGGACAGAUUCGGGUACCGCAAAACCGCCAGGCACAGAAGGGAGGAGAGCUGAGACGGACAGGCUACUCCCGGGGAGGGGAUCACCUCCACGUUCCCGCUCCAAGCGGCUGGCAGCUGCUAGUAAUUCAGACUUCUGGCCUCGGAGGAAGAGUGCCAGGGAAGAAAGAGACUAAGAAAUCCUCAAACGCCCGUAGAACAAGACCCGGGAGGAAGUGCCCAAGUGGGCGCGGCCGUCGGCGAGGUCAGUUUAGCCUGUACUGGACCGUGGAACCCUGAGCGCUGAGGCUGUGGGGUCGCGGGAUUCUACUGGGCCUCGCCAGCUUCCACAGUCUGCUGCGGUCUGUGGAAUGGGGAAGGAUAAAAUACAGACUUUGGUUUAUUUUAAAAAAUGGUAUUCUGCCUGAACUAGCAGGUCCAUGGUUUGCUUUUGGCGCUUGCAGAAGAACCAGGACGAUCUUUCCAAAAAUUUCUGCAGUAGUUUAUCUAACCAAUGAAAUAAAUGAAGGUUAAAAAACCAAAACAGAUCAUUUUCUCCCCUUGGCCUUUUAUUUUAUUUUUGUUAAGCGAAGGGGUUCUUUUGUUCUUAUUUUUGUCUUCUUAUUUGCCUGAGGGGUGUGAACUCAGGAGCAUCUGGACCUUUCCACACAUCAUUUGUUCGAUUACUUUCUUGUUGUUGACCCAACUAAGCUUUUUACGUUUUUUUUUUUUUUCUCAAUUCUUUACAGAAAAAAAAAAAAUCUUGGGAGUACUGAUGAACUUUGUUUACAGAAUCACACUCCGACUCCUUCCCCUGAAUGGCUGGUGCCUCCGGAGCUUUGAAAGCCCUGCUUUUCUCUAGGUUCAGAAACCAAAGUUAUUCACGCUCACUUCUCAAACCCUUUCCAUAUGUUCUUCUCUCGCUGGAAAAACUGAUAAGUAACAAUGUGUGUGUGCACGCGCGCUUAAAUUGCCUUUAGAUUUUAGAUACAUCAGAAGAGCUAAGGUCUUUGGUCGACACCACUUGCUGACAGCUCUUUCUCCCUUAAAUUGGGGACUUGUGUCCCUCGCUUGCAUUGGAUUCAGAGGAGACACGCGAGCAGCUGCUCAGGAAAGAGUUUUCUCUGCUACACGCUCACUCGCGCUGCAUAUCUCCUCAUGUCCACUAGAGGUCACUGGCCCCUCGCGGCUCGCGGUGCUACCGGCCGCCUCCCGCUCCUGAAGCUCAAAUUAGCUGCGCGUUAAUUAACACCCGAGUCCAUCAAGGCGCGUUCCUCAGUACAGUACUCCAGCAGGGCUUAUAUAGACAACCCAAACCCAGCCAAAGCAAACCUCCCCAAAUCCAACAUUUCCUGCAUGUCCAAAAUGGGAGACAGGCGCCUGAGUAACCCGGGGCAAGGUAUAGUGCAAUCACGCUUUAACUUUUGUUCUGUGGGGCUUGCUAAGUUGCUGUGAAGAUAACAUUCUCUGCGAGCGCAGGUUCGGCGGGGCCCGGCUCCGUUCUCCAGCUCUUCAAGGCUGGGCAGCGUGAGUUUUGGCCCCCGCAGCACACUGGUCCUCCGAGCGAGUUUCUCCAACACGGUCGCUACGGGGAAGAGGGGCGCAGGUCCACACCGUCCUAGGCGCACACGAAUGUAAAAGGAGAAUAUUUGUUUAGGAUAUGAUGCACAAGAAAAUGCCCAGAUGUGGAGAAAAGAAAUAUAAAAUAUGACGUUUCUCCUGCCUUUUGAUGAGAAAUGGGGAAAGGGCGGGGGUUAACUGUGGAGACCGACGCCCGGAAUUGACUCUGGUGAUUUUAACGCGGGAGCUAGGGGGGUGGCUGCGAUGUCCAGAGAAGGUCACUGCCUCUUGCUCAUUGUGCGUGUGUGUGUGUGUGUGUGUGUAAGGUCCACACGAAGCUUUGGGUCUAGCUUUUAUUUUAUUUUAUUUUAUUUUAUCUCAACCAAAGCCCAAUAAGCAUUUCCCACUAUGGACUGGGAGGAAUUAGUCACGUCUCCAGGGCCUCAACGAAAUCCUUAAGGACUGCAUGAAACCAAGCCCAAGUUACAUUCCAAUAGCGCUGUCCACGUUCGUGAUAUUUGUAAAUUGCCAUGACGAGUCCCUUUGACAUGGUGCCCUAGUGAGUGGAAGGGGCGCCUCUAGAGCUCUUAAUUCUUUUGAGAAAAAAUCUUGGAAACAUUAAUUCGCGUUCUGACAAAAGGGUUUACAAGGCUCGGGGUCUUUUGCCUUAGCGGGGAGCAGGAAGUUUGGAGAGGAACAGUGUGGAUUCCUAGGAGUUUGGGGACUGACCUUUGUUUUUCAUGGGAUCAUUGGUGCGGACCCCAAAGAUCGGGACGGUCGGGCCUUCACUAGGGAGGGAUCCAGCGUGUUAACCACCGUUUGCCCCAACUGUUCAGCAGUAGGCAAAAUUAGCCUGCCGCGCCCUCAUUGCGGGAUGGGGCUUCUCCUGGGUUAGUUUAAUGAUGGCCGAUUAAUGAAGCCAUUGUCCGCCUUCAGGCGAAAGCAGCAGCCGGGGCGGGUUAUGGGCCGCGUCCACGUGUUAGGCCACGCCGCAGGCACCUCCAAGGUCCGCAUCAAUAGCACCCAGGGGGCUGGCGGGAGUGAGAGCUUCCGGCAGCCCCGCGGCAGAUGAGUCCUCCGCUGGUGACGGGGUCGGAGGGGGCAUCCCUGGAAGCCCGCCCCAGUCUGGAGGAGAAAGGGGCGUCCAAUGCUUCCUGAUAAAGCUCUGGGACUUCGAAACUGCGGCUAUUUUUUUUUUAUUGCGGUCCCAAAUUAUUAGGGAGCAACCCUUGGAGCAUUCCCUGCAGAAUCCAAUCCCUACCUGAACCCCCAAUGAGGGGCCGCCCCCCAUCCCACACUUCGUUCCUCUUCCCCUUCGCCUUCGGCUUGGGCGCUACUGAGCCGGCGUUCCAGGUUGGAGCAGUUGCCAGAACCUGAUCUAGCUCCAGGGCGGGCACAGGUGUCAGCUUGAACUGGCAUUAUGUAAUGCAUUUGGCAGCCCUGGCUCUUUCCAAACGGAAUUAAGAAAGAUGGGGCUUUCCUUUUCUUUUCUUGACCUUUUCUUUUGACUACAUCUGGUCAGGUGUACUCAAUCCGUGGCAGCAGGUGUUACUGCAGGAAAAGACGAAGCGGAAUGGCGGCAGAGGUUAAAGCACUCCCAGGGAGCGGCCCAAGAGAGGCCCGGGGGCCCUGGGAAGAGCCUCAGCGACCCUUCCCUGAGCCACUCACCUGAGGCCGUAGCUGCAGGCGACCUGAAUUUCAGGCGCAGGGGACGAGGAGUGAGCAGCCCCUGCUCCCUUUGUUUUCUGGCCAAAACCCCUCUGGUAGAAACUGUGGGGCUCCCUUCUGAUUACUAUUUGCCUUUUAUUAGCCUACCUAUCACCCCACGAGUGUGGGAGAGUGUGAGUUUGGACCCAAAAUCAGGACAUUCUAGGUAAAAUACCCUUGCAGGCGACAGGGAGCCCCGCCUACAUCUCAGAAGCGUUACCUGCGAGCAGCCUCCGUCAAGCAGUUCUCUAAAAAUUAGCCAAACGGAGCCCCCCGAACCCCUUCUAAGCUGCAAGACCACGGGGCUCUCGUCCAGGAGAAUUUUAAAAAACAAUUUUGGUAAGCUCUGGAAGGGAAUUUCAUACAGUCAGUCUCCAUUUUAUUAGAUACAAAAGAAAACUGAGAAAUGAUAACAUCUCCCUCUCCAAACUGUCAGUUUACUUGUGAGUACCAAAUUACUGCCAUGAUGGAAUUUGAUGCUAAGGGCUGGUCUGAAGAGACCUAAGAGACUUUCGUAGAGACCUAAGGAAGUGUUUGAGCCUUAAAAGUGAAACGCUCAAUUUUGGGAGUAGGCUUACUUUUAAAUGAUAAAAGAGAAUAGUUUUUAAAGUACCAAUUCAAAGACUAAAUUUGAGUCUCUGAGUUGAGUUCUAAAAGGAGCACUCAUUAAAGGUGAUAAGAAGAUUUAAAACAAACAUUUGGAGAGUUGUGGCAAAAGAGGCUGUUGUCUACAUGGUUAUUUACAGGUGAUGUGUCAUGUAUCCAGACUUCUUAAUUUGGACUCGUGAAUUCAGCCCAAAACUCACACCUAUAACGACUUGAGUAACAACUAUACAAAUAAAAAUGUCUCUUUCUGGAGUAGCUUCCAUUUGCAGAGGCUGCUGCCAGGAAAGCUGGUGAAUCCUUUACACUGGAUAUUUACAUGGGCCUGAAGUGCCCCGGUACCUGUGUGUUAACUGUAGCACAAUGCCAUGCAAUGGCUACCUAUAAAUGACAUUUAAAAAAAUAUAUUGUAAGAGAUAAGCAGGGAGAAGACUAACAUCUGCCAGGAAAUUUUUUAAAACAAAGUUCAAACUAGCCCUAUUAAAUAUGUCAUGGUCAAAACUGUUUGGUGGUGAAUUAUUUUUGCCUUCCCUGCUGUUGCCAAAGCCAUUGAUGAUCACAGGAGACCUCAGCGAAAGGAAUCAGGAAGCAGCACUCUCCCCCACCUUUUUUCCCAAACGCACAUGAGUUUCUUCGUGAAUUCCAUUUGCUGGAUCUCGUCUGCCAGCUGAAGAUCCUGUACUGAUCUGGGUAGGGACCAGCCCCCACACGCAGCCGUCUGUUCCUGAGCAGAACUUGGAGGUGUAACUACAUUUUCAUGCCAACAGGGCAAAAUGAUUUCGCUCAGAAUCAGGUUGUGUUUUCAAGUUACCUUUCCUGUCUAAUCACGUGGUGCUUGUAAGACUGAUAACCUUAAAGCACACUCCUCAGUGCCGGCACCAUAGAACCUAGUUGAGCUUUGGGGGCUUUUCUUGAGUACUUAUAAAAGAUUCCACACCUUCCAGAGGGGCAGGUUGUACGUUGUUGGGACAUCAGCGGCUACUUGGUGUCUAAUUCAAGCCUUCAGGUGUUUUACUAGUUAACAAGUGUAAAUUUCCCAGGUUGUAAAUGGUUUAAGAGGGGAAAAAAGAAAGGCAAAUUAUCAAAUUGUCUGUUUAAAACAUAGUUUUGCAACUGCUAAGUUCUACUUAAACAUAAACCCAAAUUUCUUUUGUCCUCUUCAAUAAUAAAUUACUUUCUUUUACAUAAUUGUUCUGUAUAUCAAAGCUGUACCUUAUUGAACCCCUCACUUUCCUCCGUGCAACCCAAUCCUGAGGCCUCAUUAAAACACUGGCUAAUAAUUUUAAAGAAAAAAAGGCAAACUCUCAAAAAUGAUAUUCAAUAUGCAGGGCAGUUUAAUUAUUUAGUAACUGUUAAACAAUGAAAAGUGUUUUCUCUCCACCAUGCCAUCGUACUAUAGCCUGAAUGUUGACCUUACACAAAUAUCCAUUUUUCAACGUGUGGCGAUCCACCGAGAACGAACUCUUGGCCUCAGAAACUGAGUUUCAAACAGGGCGAAUUCAUGGGGGUGGGGGUCCCGAUGUGUUUAGAGUGUGUGCUCCAGACACUGGGAACACGGGUGCGGGCUGGGCGGGGGUCUGCGUGCUCUUUGCUUCCUCUCUUAUCACUGUUGUCUGAAAGAAUUUUUAAAACACCACCUGGGUUGGUAAAAUAUGAUCCUCAUUUAAUACAGUGCGUAACCGGCUCGUUCCGCUGAGAGGAUUUUUUUUUUUCCCUACAACUAACAUAAUUUUCAAGGAGCAACUUCUUUUUGUUCCAUUUUCCUUCAAAACUAUGCUGGGCACAAACUAACAACAUUUUAUCAUUCUUAUUCUGAAAUAAGAUUUGGCAGGUAAGUGAGUCCUACAACAUGCCAAAUGUCCAGCAAUCUACCGUUCAGAGAUUCCUUAUGCCACCUUUGUAACUGUGUAGCAACAGUAAUCCCUUAAUUAAGUAUACAAAUGUACAGUUCACCAACCCAUCUAGUGGUUUCACUGGAGUGGGAGAAGGGAGAUGGUUACCGUGACAUCAUUGUUAUUAUUUAAACUGCUAGGGGAGAAUAUAAUUGUUAAUAAAAGCCUUCUUCUCCACGCCCCUCAAGGUUCCCUCCCCCCUGGCAUUUUAUGACGUGCCAUCCACAAUGAAUGUAAGUAGAAUUAUGUCGAUCCUGGGAGCCUACUCUCUAAAUAUAAUGUCGCACAGGUCAGCAAGGAAAUGGAGAAGAAAAUUACUGUAUUUAGGGGUAGCUGUUUGAGAAAAUAUGUAUUUACAAGUGUGGGGUAUCGGUAUUAAAACUUUGUCUCUUUAUGAAUGUGUGUGUGUGUGUGUGUGUGUGUACAGAGGGAGUUCUAUAAACGGGUUGUGUGCAUCCGUUUUAGAAUCUUCGUGUUUGUACAUUAAAAGGCUGCCAUGCAAUCAUUCCAUGGGGCUGGUUUAGUGCAUUUAACGGAGAACUAAUGGGUAGUCUAUGUUGAAAAGCAUGGUCCUAUUUUUUAAUCCCAUCACGUACUGAAACGGUUUUGUGAGAGUCUGCGGCUUUCACCUUUAUCCAUUGUGGAUGCUCUUGUUCGAGAAAUCCAUUCCAAACACUUUUAGUUCCUGAUCACUGCUAAAAUGCUGUUCCUUCUUUCUAUGCAACUGUUCUUUAUUUUUGGCCUAUUUUUGUCAGUCUUAGCAAUAAUGAUAAACAAUCCUUGCUGCAUUGAAACUCAGUUGAAAUGAUCCGGUGAACCCCUGCCUUGGUCCUUGCUGCAAACUGUAAUCUCAAAUACUGAAUAUGGUCGGACUUGGUAGUGGGAUCCAAGCUGCAGGAGACCGAAGCUACUUUUUCGUUACCUUCUUUCUAGCCUAGAGCGCGCGCGCUAUGUACACACACACACACAUACACACACACACACACACACACACACACACACCUCGGUAAAAGCAAGCUGAGAUGAGGUGAGGGGGUGUUCCAAUGUGAACAGAGACGCAGGGUUCGGGCUGAGGGAGCCUGGGCAGUGGGGAAACCGACGGCGUGAGCAGUGCCGGGACCAGGGGCUAUGACUAAGGUGGGCGCCCCGCGUCCAGGACGAGGACGCGAGGAAGCUGCACGAGCCUCCGGCGCUUGUCUGAGAUGCAGAAGUGGAUGACCGGGCUCCCGGGCAUAAAAUCAAAGUUCCGUGGAGCUUGGAGCUCUUAGACAGCCACGCUUGUCCGAGCUGAGAGCCCUCCGUGGUUCGAGCUCGCGCGUGGAGCGGCCUCCAGCGCUCGGUCUGCUCGGGUAGAAGCCCAUGAAGGGGGUCCCGCGGCGCUAGCUUUUGUACGGCCCCGCCUUGGCCAGCCGUGAGCUGACGCACCGGCUCCCCUGGGACGCUGGUGGCGUCGCACCGCAGCUGGGUGGGGAGCAAUUUAUUCCUCGCCGUCCCAUCCCAGCCCAUCUUUGGUUACUCCACCCUACCCCUCCCAUCCCUCCUCCUCCUCCUCCUCUUCCUCCUCCUCCUCUAACAACGCCCGCACUACCUUCUGAUUCUCCACCUCCUCUUCAUCCUCCAUCCCCCUUUUACUUCUCUCUCUCCGUCUCUCCUCCCUCCCGCCUCCUUUCUCCCUCUCCCCCUCCCUCUCUCCUCUGAAUAAGCAAGCUUUUGCCUCUAAAAGUCACAAGUAAUCCUCGUGUGUGACAGAGAGAGAGAGAGAGAGAGAGAGAGAGAGAGAGAGAGAGAGAGAAACGAGCUGGCGGAGAGGAGCAGAAGGCAGGAGGGGAAAUCUGGCACAACGGCUGGGAGAGGAAACUUGAUGCUUCUGGGCCACCAUUUGCCAGGGCCUCGCUCGAGACGCCGAAAGAAGCCUGUUUGUGUGCUGCGGCCGUGCUGUGACUCUGGAUCUUGUCUUUCAGCCGGCGCCUCGGUUCCUGCCCAGCUGGAUUUGGGGGGCAGCAUUGCCUGGCGCAGGGAGAUCAAAUGAGACUGCAAAGAACAUAAAAUGAAUAGACAAUCCAACCAACCAAAGACCGGGGGCAGCAGCAGGCCAGCAAGACGGCAUCUUCUCCUUCCCAGCCUAGAAGCCCUGUGAAAUCGAGGAUCUUCCCCCUAAAACACAUACACACAAGAUAUGUGCAAUCAAGCUGCCACCGCUUGGUAAAAAGCUCAUGGUGCCUAACCAAAAAGGAUCAGGAACAGAUCCUUGAAUCAGCUGUCACUUCUAUAGAAUGGGAUUUUUUUUCCUUCCUCCUUAACCUGCGCUGGAAAUUGCCGUUGGCUUUAUACAUCUCUAUAGAGAGAGGCUAAAGAGUCUUGCGUGAGAAAGAAGCAAUUUACAAUGCAAAUAGAGGCCUGUGAAGGGACGGAUGCUGCUGCUCACUCGUAACAGCUUGCUGCACCUUAAUAGCUGGUUUUAUUUUCUGAUAUUAAUAGAUGAAUUGUUGGCUAACGCUGCCGGAGAUUACUUGCUGAAAGGAAAAAAAAAAGUUCGGAAUAAACUCUGAAGGCAACAGAUCUCGUUUGGAUGUUUUAGCCGCGCACACACACAAACAGAAACCAGGUCAUAUUUACAUAAAAGGAGGAAUCUUAAGCGCGGCAAGUAUCCUGGACGACCACUCUUCGGUACUGCCAGAAAGGAUCAGGACCUGGAGUCUGGCAAGAGGAAGACAGAGGCCUGUGUGGGAAGCGAGUUGUUAUCUUUGGUUAUCUAGCUGUAUGAGUGUAUUGGUCUUCAUAAAGCUAGAUAACCGAAAGUAAAAACUCCUUCAAGAUCGCCGGGGAGCGUGUGAGAAUGAAAGACUACAGCCGAGAGACAGUAAAAACCAGAAAGGUCAGGAAUACUUAUUGAAUCUAACUUUGUUUUUGUUUUGUUUUUUUCCUUAUGAUUAAAGGUGGGAUGAGAGAAAAUUAAAUGACACACAACAUGCUAAAAUAUCAAGGUGCCAGAUAUGUCUUGAGAGGGGUUGUUGCAGCUGCAAAGGAGAAGUGUAUAGUGAUAAUGAGUAAAGAUGCAUGUGCAGUUUGUUCUAUUUUAAGGCAAAAGUUAUAUCAGGGAUUUUUUUCUUAGAAAGGUGUUGCAGAGAUGUCUGGUACCUAGUUUAAAAAUGAUUCCAUAAUAUGUAGACUUGGGCAGUUCCUUUGUGAGGCACCUCCCUCUCAAAAUUUGAAGAUUGUGCUUGGUAAUUACUUUACAUGUAUUUGGGCUGUAUGUCAAUUUGUACGAAAUUAGACUUUCAGAAAAGUUUAUACUGGAAGGUUAAUAAUUUGUAUCUACUGAGGACUUAGAGCUAGCAGGCAAAAUGAAAAAAAAAAAAAAGCAAGGGCUGAUUUUUAUUCUUCUAUUCAAAAUACAAGGACAGAUGCUUCUCUGUUCCAAGAGGGUUUCCUUGAGGAAGCUACUGAAGCAGAAAGACAUGAUGGAGACGAGAUCGCCUCCCCUCUUGUCAAAGUGUUAAAAAAUGUUCUGUCUUACUCUGCGCCUAGCAUUGGAAAUGAAAGUGACAUUUACGCCACAACCCACGUGUGCGCCUCCUCUCUUUUUGUUUAAGGAUGAUCAGGUCUAUCCAGGAAACAGCUCUGGCAUCCCAAACUGAAAUAAUUAGGACGUAUAUAGACCUGACAAAAAUGGAAAGGGGGUGGGGAAUCUGAGGGUCUGUCUUGCCUAAUUGAUUCCGCUAAACGGAAUGCAGGAGAUGUGAACGGCAGGACGCUCCGAUUCCCACGCUCGGGGGCAAGUGAUAAAGCGGGGCCGGGCAGCCUAUGACAGACAGCCCUGUUGGGGGGUGGGGGUAUGAAAAAAACAUCAAGUGCACACACCAUACUCAUCUCCAUCGCUUAAGAAAGUAAAGGCAUUUCCCACCCACAGCCAUCUGCAGCUUCCCAAAUGGCAGCACCAACUGGUCUGUAGCUGCUACAUAGUCUGCUUCUGUUAAUUUUUUAACCACUGUUUAAUCUGGCCAUAAUUAAGUUUGGCUUUCUUCGUUGUUUGAGAUUUUCAGAAUUCAAGGCAAGCUAGUAGAAAGCAAUUCCAAGAAAGUCCCAUGACUGCCUGCCCCUAAUGUCAAAAUCUCAGUCCAUGAGAUUAUGGCCUUGUGACCACAUUUUUGCUUUUGUUUUGGGUGAGCAAAUGUGUAUAGAGAUAAAAUACAUAUCUCUAUAUAACAGUCGUUAUUAUAAUUUCAUGAGGCUUUUUACCUCUUAACAUGAUACAUCUAGGAACUUGGUCUAAUUGUGCUAGUAGAUAUACACUAGAAGUAAAACUAUAAAGUCAUUAGCCUGUAGAAAGUUGAUUAUGAUAACAAUAUGAUAAAAAGUUUGUUUUGGAAUAGUCUCAGCUAGAUGGGUCUAAAUAGCCAUUUUAAUGUAAUCUAAAAAUAACACUAUGCCUAGCAGAAACUUUGGCGCUUUGGAGGUCCCCAUUGUUGCCUUUUCAUAAAAGUCCUUAAGUUUUCCAUAUGUCACCAAGCAAACAUUUGUAUAGGCAUUUACACAGAAAUAUAACCAUUGCAAUUAGAAAAUAUCCAAAAUAGCCUGUUAUCUUCCACGUGGCCUAGAUUAUUGACAAUCCCAAAUAUACAAUUUUUCUUUAAAAGUAGUACAACUUCCUUUUGUAGCUUCAAUUCCUUAUAUGACUUCAGACUGGAGAAGCCUGUUAAACCACUGUUAGUUUCAGUUAGAAAGUCUGAGAGACUUUAUACAUAAAUUCUCAAUUUGGCUGCUGUACACGUGCCAGAGUUUUACUACUGUAGUGACCGUUGAGAAGACCCUUGUUUAUUUACAUUUGAAGCACUGUUUGUGCAAACAACCUUUCAUUGUUAAGUGCCUGUAUUCCUUUCAUUUACUUCAUGUCCAGGGGUGCUAUUUACCUAGAACCAUUGUCUACUACAAUUAACAUUUACAUUACAAAGUGUGUGGUUUUCUUUUUCAAGGAGGUUCAAUUAAGGCAAUAAGAUGUUUGCUGGAGAAACCUAUUGUUUACUGAAAGCACUCAAUGGAGUCAAAUUACUGAAGCUUUUGCCUACAUCUUGGUCUUUUAUGUAAAUAUGUUAAAUAUAACAUCUAAGGAAAAUAAACAAUAUUAUAAUUAUGUGUUUGCCAUUGUCAUAUCAAACUUGCUUUGUAUCAUACUAAUGUUACAUAACUUAUCGAUCAAUAAAAAUACAUUUCAAUGUUA